UUUCUUAUAACCAGGAGAAUAUGCAGGUCUGAGUUAUUCCCCGUUGUUACAUUUACGCCACUUGCAUCAAUGGUUCUUAAAACGAAAAAAUGGCGAGCCUUUCUGAGAAAGAUUUUGAUUGUUUCGAUGGAUAUCACCAUACAUUAAUGAUAAUAAUGACAGAUAGAAACCAAGGAAGUUAUCUUCAAUUUGUUGGAGAAUAUUUCAGCUCGGGAAAAAGAUUAGAAGAGAAUCAGCCUGGUAUAACAGGUGAAGCUUUAGACAGGACCCAUCACGGUGAGCAGAGUAUUCACCAUUACUUCUGCAAUCAACGGAAAGCAAUAGCAGGUCUUUCUGGUGGCAUGAUGUAUAUAUACAACGGGUUGUACCUGUAUAUUGGGUUUAGCAAUCCUCUUGUUGGAUGCAGGAAGUGUUUUGUAGAAUUAACUUUAAGAAAAGAGUCAGCAAAAUGGGCGUACGAACAACUUGAUAACGGAGAAACUAAGACAUCUCGACAUGGUGAAUGGAAAGUUGAAGCCAAAUAUUUAUUGUCACAGAAACCUAUAUUGAACAUAACAUUGGGUAGGGAUUACCAGUUUUAAGGACUUUGUUCAGAGAGCAAAUCGACGCAUGAUGAAAGUAAUGUCUUCCAUGAACAGAACAUUAACAGACUUCUUGCCUCGCCAUGUCGAAAGACACCAAAGCUGUUGUGAUACCAAAGGCGUUGGUGUCGUGUGUAGACACCAUGUUAACAAUUCUAAGCAAGCUCAUAUUUACUACACAUCACAACUGAAUGAAACUUCAUACAUGCCUUCCCCAUGAUAAUACCAAUAGUAUGGUAUAGGUUCAAUAACUCAUGUUUUCAUUUUGAUGAAAUUAUGUCCCAUUUUGUACUUUUUAAACAAAAUUCUGUUCUCGAUUGUUAUCAAGUUAGUGUCUCAGUAAGUACAUAUCACAACUAAAUUUUUUUUUCAUUCUAACACGACCAGCAAAUAACCUACAUACAUAUAGAGCAAAAUCUAUCUCCGGUUAUUCUGCAAUAAACCACUCGCGUGCAAUGACGUCAUCCGAUCAAGGUGCGUAGCGCGGUCGUAAAAAUUAGUUACCCUUUUUCUAACACUGUUGAUACUAGUAUGUCGUGUUAGAAUCGGAAUAAUAAGUUCCCAAGUGUGAUUUAUCGCAGAAUAACCAGAGUUUUUCGUUCUUAUGCGAAACAAUAUAUCACUCAGGCCUACGGCCUUCGUGCUAUAUUUUUAUGCAUAAGAACUCAAAACUCGGGUUACUCUACGAUAAACCACGUUUGGGAACUUAUUAUUUCUUAAGCAGUAUUCUUUUCAUACUUGUCAUUGAGUAAAAAUCUCAGUAACUACACAUCAUACAGUUGAAUGAAGCUACACUUCUUGGCCAUGAUAAUACCAGCUGAAUGUCAUAGAUACCAUACAGCAGUUUUCCUUAGUUGACCAUCUACCAAAUUUUCUACAUAAUGUUGUUUUGUUAAAAAACAUGGCAGCCAUGGGUGUUACUAGUUUUCCUUCUAUGGCUAUAUGGAUAACUUUGAAAAUCUUCUAAUCUGUAACAGUUACUGCUGGUUUGAUUUCAAAAUAAUAGCACUGAAAUGUCUGUUGGGUGACACAAUCAAAAUUUAUUCAAUUCAUCUUGUUUUGUUAAAAAUCGUGACACCUGGGGGGCUAGUUUUCCCUAUAUGGCUACUGUGAAAUCAUUAAUAUUCAUGGUGACUAAUUUUCAUGGAUUUCCUGGUUGAGUCAAUCCAUGAAAUUGAAUCCCAACGAACAAGUAAAAUUCCCAUUCAUUUUAUGUUCAAAAGUUGAAAUUCACGAAUUCAUAUCCCCACGAAAUUGCCGUUUUGACCGAAACCAGGAAAUUUCAUGCCCACGAAAUUUAAUGAUUUUACAGUAGUUAGAAACCAUGGUCCUUUUGUAAAACCUUUACUCUGUCUGUUUUUAGCUCACCUGUCACAUAGUGACAGAGAGCUUUUGUGAUCGUCCAUACGUCCACAAUUUCCUUGUGAACAUGAUAGAGACCACAUUUUAUAUUUGAUUUUAAUCAAACUUGCACACAACUUGUAUGGGCAUAAUAUUUCGGUUCCUUUCGAAAACUGGCCAGAUCCCAUCCUGGUUCCAGAGUUCUGACCUCUUAAAGGGCUAAAAUUUGCCAUUUUUGUCUUGUGAACAUGAUAGAGACCACAUUUUGCAAUCAACUUUAAUCAAACGUGCACACAACUUGUAUUGGCAUAAUAUCUCAGUUCCUUUCGAAAACUGGCCAGAUCCCAUCAUAAGUUCCAGAGUUAUGGCCCCUUAUAGAUCCAAAAUUUGCUAUUUUGGCUUUUGCAGCCAUAUAGAGACUUCAUUUAUGGUUUGAUUUGAUACAAACUUGCAAAAUAUCUUCAGCAGCAAUAAAUCCAUGAUGAAUCUGUCAGAUCCAGUCAUAGGUUCUGGAGUUACGGCCCCUGAUUGACCCCCUAAAAGAGCCAAAUUUGUUAAAUUUUUUUACCUUGUGAACACGAUAGAAGUGACAUUUUAUAUUUCAUUUUAACCACACUUACACACAACUUAAGUCGCAAUAAGAUCUCAGUUCCUUUCGAAAACUGGCUAGAUUCCAUUAUGGGUGCUGGAGUUACUGCCCCGCUUAGCUUAUUAGGUAGAGCAUUCCUAGGCCAAGUUUGAAACUGGGUCAAAUGAGGUCAAAAACUAGGUCACCCAGUCAGAUCAAAGGAAAAGCUUGUUAACACUCUUGAGGCCACAUUUAUGACCCUAUCUUCAUAAAACUUGGUAAAAAAUUUUAUCUUGAUGAUUCCUAGGCUAAGUAAAGUUUGAAACUGUGUCUUAUGGGGUCAGAACAGAAACUAGGUCACCCACUCAAAUCAAAGGAAAAGCUUGUUAACACUCUUGUUCAUUUAAUGUGCAUGAAACUUGGUCAGAAUGUUUGUGUGCAUGAAAUAUCUUUUGAAUUUUUAUCUGGGUCAUGUAGGGUCAAAAACUAGGUCACCAGGUCAAAUCAAAGAAUAAGCUUGUUUUCACUCAAGAGGCCACGUUUUUUGGUCCAAUCUUAAUGAAAAUUGGUCAGAAUAUUUGUCUCCAUGAAAUCGCUAGGUAAAACAUGUGUACACUCUUAUUGUGUGUUACUCAGGUGAAUGACUUAUGGCCAUCUUGGCCCUCUUCUUAGCUCACAUGAGCCAAAGGCUCAGGGUGAGCUAUUGUGAUCACUCACUGUCCGUCCAUCGUAUGUCGUCCGUUGUCCGUCCGUAAACUUUUACUUUAAACAACAUCUCCUCAUAAACCACUAGGCCAAUUUCAUCCAAACUUCACAGGAAUGUUCCUUGGGUGAAGCUCUACAAAAAUUAUUAAAAGAAUUGAAUUCCAUGCAGAACUCGGGUUGCCAUGGCAGCCGAAAGGAAAAACAUUAAAAAUCUUCUUCUCAAAAACCAGAAGCCUAGAGCUUAGAUAUUUGGUGUAAAGCAUUACCUAGUGGACCUCUACCAAGUUUGUUCAAAUCAUGACGCCCCCGGGUCAAAAUUGACCCCGCCCGAGGGGUCAUAUGAUUUUACAUAAGAAAAUCUUAAAAAAUCUUUUUCUCAAAAACCAGAAGCCCUAUAGCUUAGAUAUUUGACAUGUAGCAUUGCCUAGUGGACCUCUACUAAAGUUGUUCAAAUCAUGACCCCGGGGUGAAAAAUGACCCCGCCCCAGGGGUCACUUGAUUUUACAUAGAUUUCUAUAGGAAAAUCUUCAAAAAAAUUUAAAAAAUAAACCAGAAGGCCUAGAGCUUAGAUAUUUGACAUGUAGCAUUGCCUAAUAGACCUCUACAAAAUUUGUUGAAAUCAUGACCCCCCGGGUCAAAAUUGACCCCACCCCAGGGGUCACUUGAUUUUACAUAGGAAAAUCUUCAAAAAUUUUCUAAAAAUAAACCAGAAGGCCUAGAGCUUAGAUAUUUAACAUGUAGCAUUGCCUAGUGGACCUCUACAAAAUUUGUUCAAAUCAUGACCCCCGGGGUUAAAAUUGACCCCGCUCCAGGGGUCACUUGAUUUUACAUAGGAAAAAAUUUCAAAAAUUUUCUAAAAAUAAACCAGAUGGCCUAGAUCUUAGAUAUUUGACAUAUAGCAUUGCCUAGUAGACUUCUUCAAAAUUUAUUCAAAUCAUGACUCCCGGGGUCAAAUUGACCCCGCCCCAUGGGGUUACUUGAUUGUACAUAGAAAAAUCUUCAAAAUUUGCUAAAAAUAAACCAGAAGGCCUAGAUCUUAGAUAUUUGAUAUGUAACAUUGCCUAGUAGACUUCUACAAACUUUGUUCAAAUCAUGACCCCCGGGGUAAAAUUGGCCCCGCCCCAGGGGUUACUUGAUUGUACAUCGGAAAAUCUUCCAAACAAAUUCUAAAAAUCAUAAAUUUGACAUUUGAAACAUGUAGCUCAUAUUACUCAGGUGAGCGAACCAGGGUCAUCAUGACCCUCUUGUUUGUACUUCCUUCUGUUUCAUGAUAUUGCCACUAAGUAUCCCCACCCCAUUACCACUAAUCAAGCAUACCACAAUAAAGAUGAGAACACCCCCACACUUUCAGAGAACUUUUUAUCUAUUGCAGUGAGCUUCAUCGUCUGCUGAUAACUCUUGUUAUAAAGAAGUGUUCUCUUUUAUGCUGUUACCGUUGCAGGUGCAUAUAAUAUAAUCAAAUCAUGUUGAGAAGAGCCUUUAAAUGUAAUAGCGUCCUAGCAGUUCAUACUCGCCUUAAGUCUAUUUCCAGUACAAUGGAUAUCGGAUCUGUUACAUGAAUCACAGAGUUUUACAGUCAUUUUGUAAGCUUGACUAUAUAUAAGAUUUUGUUUAUUGAUAAGUUUGGUAAACUUGGUUUGUUCAGUUAUGUUGCAUCUUGGAAAAUUUUAGAGAAUUCCUUGGAACCCUGUUGAGAUAAUUCCUUCGAGCCCUGUAGAGAUAAUUCCUUUGAGCCCAGUAGAAAUUGAGGGAACAAACUAUAUAAUAAGGAGGAAUACCUGUCGACGAGAACUAUAAUUGUAAACACACUUACAGAUAAUUGUAGAAUUGGAACUGCUGCAAUUAGAAUAGAAACUCACCGGCCAGGACGCUUUGAAAGGUUACAUAUUAAUCAAAGGGCUCGCUCUCUUUGUGCUAAUCAGAUGGAAAAUGAGUUUCAUGUAUUGAUGGACAGUAAUUAAAUUUUAUUUGAUUAAUGUAAAUUUAUUUACAUAUGCUUAAAAAAAUCAUGACAAUUUCGCAGCAUUACAGGCGUAUGUUAGAAUUCCUGUAAAUGAGAUGGUCGAAAUUUUCCCCAGUAAUAGAAUUUCUUCAAACUGAUCAAUAAUGAAGGACAAUCAUCUAUGAAACAAAAAUAUGCAAUAAAAGUAAUAGGUCUCCGGUAUUGAAAAAGAGUUAUCUGUCCUUGAAAACGGCAUUUUUUAUGUCCUUCAGUAUCGAAAAUUAGAAGAAAUUAUAUUAUUGGGAAAAUUUACGCCCAUCUCAUAUACAGAAAUUCUAGUGUAAAGUAUUGAGGAAGAUAAAGUAUUUUUACAAAAAUGACUCUACAUUUAUCUUUGAUAUUUUUAAAAGAAAGUAACAAAUUUCUUGUUUACAUAUAUAAUUACUUUUUAGGCUAGUAAUAAACAAUAGUAUUGUAAUUUUAGCUGGUAUUUUACAGAUGUUAAACAUAUUUUAAGUGACUAAUGUACAAGAUUUUUUCUGUGUUAGUGCACAAAUAUAGUGCAAUAUCUGUUUCAGUCAUUGGUGUUUUAGUUACAGUACAACUUAUAUUAAGAGACCAUCCAAGGGGACUGUAUGAAUUAGUCUCUUACUUUAGUUGGUCUCUUAAAACAACAUAAUUUGUUCUUUAACAAUACAGUAUGGGAUUUAAAAAGUGGUCUCUUACUUGACGUGAUCUCUCAAGCAAGUGUGUCAAGCUGUUAGUCAGAUAUAACUCCAAGAAGACUUUAAUGCAGAUUCGCAAUUUCUGUAGGAAUAACGCUACUACCACAUGCAUUAUCUGUUGUAUCUGUAAAAAUAUGCAAGUUCAGCACUGUAGUCAGUUCCCCACAUAAUAUAUGAUACAAGGUGAUAAAUGUCUUAAUCAAUAUUGUUUUAAGAAAGCAUUUACUAAUAUAUUUCAUAUUUAAUUAAUCUUAAUGGUAGAAUUGACAUUUGUGUUUUAACCAUGUAAAUGUGUAAUAUGACUGAAUAUUGAUUGUUAUACCCCCCUUCGAAGAAGGAGGGGUAUAUUGUUUUGCAGAUGUCGGUCGGUCGGUAUGUAGACCCAUCCAUUUCCGGAUGAUAACUCAAGAACGCUUGGGCCUAAGGUCAUAAAAGUUCAUAGGGAGGUUGGUCAUGCCCAGCAGAUGAUUUUGAGAUCAGUAGGUCAAAGGUCAAGGUCACAGUGACCCGGAACAGUUAAAUGGUUUCCGGAUGAUAACUCAAGAACGCUUGGGCCUAGGAUCAUAAAAGUUCAUAGAGAAGUUGGUCUAGAGCCGCAGAUGACCCCUAUUGAUUUUGAGAUCAGUAGGUCAAAUGUCAAGGUCACAGUGACCAGGAACAGUUUAACCGUUUCCGGAUGAUAAUUCAAGAAUGCUUGGGCCUAGGAUCAUGGAAGUUGAUAGGGAGGUAAAUCAUGACCAGCAGAUAACCCGUACUAUUUUUGAGGUCAGUAAAUCAAAGGUCAAGGUCACAGUGAACUGGAACAGUUAAACCAUUUCCAGAUGAUAACUUGAGAAUACUUGGGCCUAGGAUCAUGAAAGUUCAUAGGGAAGUUGGUCAUGAUCAGCAGAUAACUCCUAUUGAUUUUGAGGUCAGUAGGUCAAAGGUCAAGGUCACAGUGACCAGGAACAGUUAAAUGGUGUCCAGAUGAUAACUCAAGAACGCUUGGGCCUAGGAUCAUAAAAGUUCAUAGAGAAGUUGGUCUAGAGCCGCAGAUGACCCCUAUUGAUUUUGAGAUCAGUAGGUCAAAUGUCAAGGUCACAGUGACCAGGAACAGUUUAACCAUUUCCAGAUGAUAAUUCAAGAAUACUUGGGCCUAGGAUCAUGAAAGUUGAUAGGGAGGUUAAUCAUGACCAGCAGAUAACCCGUACUGUUUUUGAGGUCAGUAAAUCAAAGGUCAAGGUCACAGUGACAUGGAACAGUUAAACCAUUUCCAGAUGAUAACUUGAGAAUACUUGGGCCUAGGAUCAUGAAAGUUCAUAGGGAAGUUGGUCAUGAUCAGCAGAUGACUCCUAUUGAUUUUGAGGUCAGUAGGUCAAAGGUCAGUGUCACAGUGACCUGGAACAGUUAAAUGGUUUCCGGAUGAUAACUCAAGACCACUUGGGCCUAGGAUCAUGAAAGUUGAUAGGGAGUUUGGUCAUGACCAGCAGAUGACUCGUAUUGAUUAAGAGGUCAAUAUGCCAAAGGUCAAGGUCACAGUGAGUCGGAACAGUUAAACUGUGUCCGGAUGAUAACCCAAGAACAAACGGUUUCCGGAUGAUAACUCAAGAGCGUUUGGAGCCCGCCUGCUUAGCUCAGUAGGUAAGAAAGUUGGUCUACGGAUCGCGGGGUUUUGUUAGUCCGAUCCUCGGGCGGCACGUAUGUUCUCCGUGAUUAUUUGAUAAACGACAUUGUGUCUGAAAUCAUAAGUCCUCCACCUCUGAUUCAUGUGGGAAAGUUGGCAGUUACUUGCGAAGAAAAGAUUUGUACUUGUACAGAAUCCAGGAAAACUGGUUAAGUUAACUGCCCGCCGUUACAUGACUGAAAUACCGUUGAAAAAUGGCGUUAAACACAAAACAAACAAAAACAAACAAACAAGAACGCUUGGGCCUAGGAUCAUGAAAGUUUAUAGGGAGGUUGAUCAUGACCAGCAGCUGACACCUAUCGAUUUUGAGGUCAAUAGGGCAAAGGUCAAGGUCACAUUGGCCCAGAACAGUAGAACUUUUGUGUACAGUGACCAAAUAAUUUCUGUUCAUUGUGCAGUUACUGAAUGCAUCAAGGGGGGCAUUUCGUGUUCUACGAGCUCUUGUUUUUAGUAUGAAUCUGUUAUAAGUCUCUUGUAAUUCUGUAAAAUAAUUGAUGCUAUUGUAUGUAUGUAUGUUUGUACUGAUGUUUGUAAAUUGAUGAGACUCUAAUAAACAAUAAAUAUUCAUAAGACCA